rnacentral:rRNA from 1 species
GGAAUAUUGCACAAUGGGCGCAAGCCUGAUGCAGCAAUGCCGCGUGUGUGAAGAAGGCCUGCGGGUUGUCAAGCACUUUUAUCAGGAAAGAACCUACCUGGGGUUAAUACCCCCAGGUACUGACGGUACCUGAGGAAUAAGCACCGGCUAACUCCGUGCCAGCAGCCGCGGUAAUACGGAGGGUGCAAGCGUUAAUCGGAAUUCCUGGGCGUAAAGCGAGUGUAGGCGGCUGCGUGUGUCGGAUGUGAAAGCCCCGGGCUUAACCUGGGAAUUGCAUUCGAAACUGCGCGGCUAGAGUCUGAUAGAGGGAAGUGGAAUUCCAGGUGUAGCGGUGAAAUGCGUAGAUAUCUGGAGGAACAUCAGUGGCGAAGGCGGCUUCCUGGAUCAAGACUGACGCUGAGGCUCGAAAGCGUGGGGAGCAAAC